rnacentral:tRNA from 6 species
GGGCCCGUGGUGUAGCCUGGUUUAACAUGCCUGCCUGUCACGCAGGAGAUCGAGGGUUCAAAUCCCUUCGGGCCCGCCA